UGAAGAGGAAGUGGCGGUUUAGGAAACUAGAAGGUUGGAGAGAGAGGCAUAACGAGUGGUUACUUUGUAAAACCGUACUCUUCCCUACUGUAAUAGUUCAGACCAGAAGCCAAAUUGUUUAGGCCGUUCAAUCUCGUUGUGUCGACUAGAUCUAGGUGAAUAAUAUGAGGGUGAGGUGGAAGAUGACCUAAUAUGUCUAAUAUGCGAAAAGAAGGUGAAGUACGAUUAAGUUAAGGUGAUGCUGACGUAGAAGAAGACGAGGGAUU
rnacentral:lncRNA from 1 species